UACGGAGGGUGCGAGCGUUGUCCGGAAUCACUGGGCGUAGAGGGCGCGUAGGCGGCGCGGAAAGUCGUCGGUGAAAGCUCGGGGCUCAACCCUGAGUCUGCCGGUGAUACUCCCGCGCUCGAGCUCACUAGAGGCAGAUGGAAUUCCGGGUGUAGCGGUGGAAUGCGUAGAGAUCCGGAAGAACACCGGUGGCGAAGGCGGUCUGCUGGGGUGAGGCUGACGCUGAUGCGCGACAGCGUGGGGAGCAAACAGG
rnacentral:rRNA from 1 species